GACGAACGCUGGCGGCGUGCUUAACACAUGCAAGUCGAACGGAAAGGCCCUGCUUUUGUGGGGUGCUCGAGUGGCGAACGGGUGAGUAACACGUGAGUAACCUGCCCUUGACUUUGGGAUAACUUCAGGCAACUGGGGCUAAUACCGGAUAGGAGCUCCUGCUGCAUGGUGGGGGUUGGAAAGUUUCGGCGGUUGGGGAUGGACUCGGGGGUUAUCAGCUUGUUGGUGGGGUAGUGGCUUACCAAGGCUUUGACGGGUAGCCGGCCUGAGAGGGUGACCGGCCACAAUGGGACUGCGGUACGGCGCAGACUCCUACGGGAGGCAGCAGUGGGGAAUAUUGCACAAUGGGGGGAAGCCUGAUGCAGCAGCGCCGGGUGCGUGAUGACGGCCUUCGGGUUGUAAACCGCUUUCGCCUGUGACGAAGCGUGAGUGACGGUAAUGGGUAAAGAAGCACCGGCUAACUACGUG
rnacentral:rRNA from 1 species